CGUUCUGUAAGCCUGCGAAGGUGGCCUGUGAGGGUUGCUGGAGGUAUCAGAAGUGCGAAUGCUGACAUAAGUAACGAUAAAGCGGGUGAAAAGCCCGCUCGCCGGAAGACCAAGGGUUCCUGUCCAACGUUAAUCGGGGCAGGGUGAGUCGACCCCUAAGGCGAGGCCGAAAGGCGUAGUCGAUGGGAAACGGGUUAAUAUUCCCGUACUUGGUGUUACUGCGAAGGGGGGACGGAGAAGGCUAUGUUGGCCGGGCGACGGUUGUCCCGGUUUAAGCGUGUAGGUGUGUGUUCCAGGUAAAUCCGGUUCACUUUAACACUGAGGCGUGAUGACGAGGCACUACGGUGCUGAAGCAACAAAUGCCCUGCUUCCAGGAAAAGCCUCUAAGCAUCAGGUAACAUCAAAUCGUACCCCAAACCGACACAGGUGGUCAGGUAGAGAAUACCAAGGCGCUUGAGAGAACUCGGGUGAAGGAACUAGGCAAAAUGGUGCCGUAACUUCGGGAGAAGGCACGCUGACACGUAGGUGAAGUGAUUUACUCAUGGAGCUGAAGUCAGUCGAAGAUACCAGCUGGCUGCAACUGUUUAUUAAAAACACAGCACUGUGCAAACACGAAAGUGGACGUAUACGGUGUGACGCCUGCCCGGUGCCGGAAGGUUAAUUGAUGGGGUCAGCGCAAGCGAAGCUCCUGAUCGAAGCCCCGGUAAACGGCGGCCGUAACUAUAACGGUCCUAAGGUAGCGAAAUUCCUUGUCGGGUAAGUUCCGACCUGCACGAAUGGCGUAAUGAUGGCCAGGCUGUCUCCACCCGAGACUCAGUGAAAUUGAACUCGCUGUGAAGAUGCAGUGUACCCGCGGCAAGACGGAAAGACCCCGUGAACCUUUACUAUAGCUUGACACUGAACAUUGAGCCUUGAUGUGUAGGAUAGGUGGGAGGCUUUGAAGUGUGGACGCCAGUCUGCAUGGAGCCGGCCUUGAAAUACCACCCUUUAAUGUUUGAUGUUCUAACGUGGACCCGUGAUCCGGGUUGCGGACAGUGUCUGGUGGGUAGUUUGACUGGGGCGGUCUCCUCCUAAAGAGUAACGGAGGAGCACGAAGGUUGGCUAAUCCUGGUCGGACAUCAGGAGGUUAGUGCAAUGGCAUAAGCCAGCUUGACUGCGAGCGUGACGGCGCGAGCAGGUGCGAAAGCAGGUCAUAGUGAUCCGGUGGUUCUGAAUGGAAGGGCCAUCGCUCAACGGAUAAAAGGUACUCCGGGGAUAACAGGCUGAUACCGCCCAAGAGUUCAUAUCGACGGCGGUGUUUGGCACCUCGAUGUCGGCUCAUCACAUCCUGGGGCUGAAGUAGGUCCCAAGGGUAUGGCUGUUCGCCAUUUAAAGUGGUACGCGAGCUGGGUUUAGAACGUCGUGAGACAGUUCGGUCCCUAUCUGCCGUGGGCGCUGGAGAACUGAGGGGGGCUGCUCCUAGUACGAGAGGACCGGAGUGGACGCAUCACUGGUGUUCGGGUUGUCAUGCCAAUGGCACUGCCCGGUAGCUAAAUGCGGAAGAGAUAAGUGCUGAAAGCAUCUAAGCACGAAACUUGCCCCGAGAUGAGUUCUCCCUGAGACUUUAGGUCUCCUGAAGGAACGUUGAAGACGACGACGUUGAUAGGCCGGGUGUGUAAGCGCAGCGAUGCGUUGAGCUAACCGGUACUAAUGAACCGUGAGGCUUAACCUUACAACGCCGAAG
rnacentral:rRNA from 1 species